rnacentral:rRNA from 1 species
AUUGAACGCUGGCGGCAGGCCUAACACAUGCAAGUCGAACGAGUGGCGGACGGGUGAGUAAUGUCUGGGAAACUGCCUGAUGGAGGGGGAUAACUACUGGAAACGGUAGCUAAUACCGCAUACCAUCGAAUGUGCCCAGAUGGGAUUAGCUAGUAGGUGGGGUAAAGGCUCACCUAGGCGACGAUCCCUAGCUGGUCUGAGAGGCUGACCAGCCACACUGGAACUGAGACACGGUACAGAAUCCUAAGGGAGGAAGCAGUGGGGAAUAUGGCACAAUGGGCGCAAGCCUGAAGCAGCAAUGACGCGUGUAUGAAGAAGGCUGUGGGGUUGUAAAGUACUUUAAGCGGGGAGGCGUUACCCGCAGAGGAAGCUCAGGCUAACGCCGUGCCAGCAGCCGCGGUAAUAC